GACGGAGCACGUGAAAUUCCGUCGGAAUCUGGGAGGACCAUCUCCUAAGGCUAAAUACUCUCUAGUGACCGAUAGUGAACCAGUACCGUGAGGGAAAGGUGAAAAGCACCCCGGAAGGAGAGUGAAAUAGAACCUGAAACCGUGUGCUUACAAGUAGUCAGAGCCCGUUAAUGGGUGAUGGCGUGCCUUUUGUAGAAUGAACCGGCGAGUUACGAUUUGAUGCAAGGUUAAGCAGUAAAUGUGGAGCCGUAGCGAAAGCGAGUCUGAAUAGGGCGUUUAGUAUUUGGUCGUAGACCCGAAACCAGGUGAUCUACCCUUGGUCAGGUUGAAGUUCAGGUAACACUGAAUGGAGGACCGAACCGACUUACGUUGAAAAGUGAGCGGAUGAACUGAGGGUAGCGGAGAAAUUCCAAUCGAACCUGGAGAUAGCUGGUUCUCUCCGAAAUAGCUUUAGGGCUAGCCUCAAGUGAUGAUUAUUGGAGGUAGAGCACUGUUUGGACGAGGGGCCCCUCUCGGGUUACCGAAUUCAGACAAACUCCGAAUGCCAAUUAAUUUAACUUGGGAGUCAGAACAUGGGUGAUAAGGUCCGUGUUCGAAAGGGAAACAGCCCAGACCACCAGCUAAGGUCCCAAAAUAUAUGUUAAGUGGAAAAGGAUGUGGCGUUGCCCAGACAACUAGGAUGUUGGCUU
rnacentral:rRNA from 1 species